UGGACUGAAUCGUGACUUUUGCAUCGCAAGC
rnacentral:piRNA from 1 species